rnacentral:rRNA from 1 species
CCUGCAAGUCGAACGAUGAAGCCUAGCUUGCUGGGUGGAUUAGUGGCGAACGGGUGAGUAACACGUGAGUAACCUGCCCUUGACUCUGGGAUAAGCCUGGGAAACUGGGUCUAAUACCGGAUACGACCAUUGCCCGCAUGGGUUGGUGGUGGAAAGCUUUUGUGGUUUUGGAUGGACUCGCGGCCUAUCAGCUUGUUGGUGAGGUAAUGGCUCACCAAGGCGACGACGGGUAGCCGGCCUGAGAGGGUGACCGGCCACACUGGGACUGAGACACGGCCCAGACUCCUACGGGAGGCAGCAGUGGGGAAUAUUGCACAAUGGGCGAAAGCCUGAUGCAGCGACGCCGCGUGAGGGAUGACGGCCUUCGGGUUGUAAACCUCUUUCAGUAGGGAAGAAGCGAAAGUGACGGUACCUGCAGAAGAAGCGCCGGCUAACUACGUGCCAGCAGCCGCGGUAAUACGUAGGGCGCAAGCGUUAUCCGGAAUUAUUGGGCGUAAAGAGCUCGUAGGCGGUUUGUCGCGUCUGCUGUGAAAGGCCAGGGCUCAACCCUGGUUCUGCAGUGGGUACGGGCAGACUUGAGUGAUGUAGGGGAGACUGGAAUUCCUGGUGUAGCGGUGAAAUGCGCAGAUAUCAGGAGGAACACCGAUGGCGAAGGCAGGUCUCUGGGCAUUAACUGACGCUGAGGAGCGAAAGCAUGGGGAGCGAACAGGAUUAGAUACCCUGGUAGUCCAUGCCGUAAACGUUGGGCACUAGGUGUGGGGGACAUUCCACGUUUU